rnacentral:ribozyme from 15 species
AUCUAUAUACAGCAGGAAAACAAAAAGAAGAGACGUGAGAAGAAGAGAGAGAGAAAUCGUCCAUCACUUCUUCAAUUUUUGAAAUUCUGCCACUUUGCUCCUCCCUCUUUUUCCCUUCUCUCCUUCUCAACU